UUAACUAGACCAAAAGGCUGAACUUUCUUAGGAACUUAGCCUGCAACUGCAUAGUGAAGAGGUAAGGGCAGAAAGACUGGUAGGGGAGGAGUGUGGAAACCUGGGUUAGCGUUUCUAUGAAGAGUAAGCCUAGGAUGGAUUUUCGGAGAAAAAAGAACAUGAAACCAAUGGGGCUGAUAAAGAAAGAAAGAAAUGUGGAGAUGGAUCAUUCGGGCAGAAAACCUGGGAAAUGAGGCCUGGAGGCAGGGCAAAACAUCCUUCUCAUCUCUCCAAGUCCCAUUGUCUGAAGUUCCAGACCUGUCCAUGCUAACCCGUAUGAACCCCCAGAGGUACUACAACCCCCCAGACAGAUGAUUAGAUCUGAGCAGUUUUCGGAGGCUCAGAGAGAGUGGUAAUCCUGCUUGAUGUCUCCUAUUCUCCUAUGUGCAGAGUUUGCCAGAAGCAAUAUGAGAUGCAUCUUGGGAUCCCCUAGGUUCUCUUCCCCCCAUCACCCCCCACUACAGACCACAAAAAUUGAGGUGAAAAAUUGAGAGCCAGAGGAACAGAAACAGGGUCUACACCUCCUCCUCCCCCCUCCUCUCCCUCUUCCCAAUAGCUGAAAUCUUUCUAGAGCUUCUCCGAUAAAACCCAUUUCCUUUCAGAGGCCAGUGAGUGCCUAAGCAAUUUAUGCACUACACAGUCAGUUACAGCCUCAACAGAUGUCCACCUGGGAAUGUGAGGGAAAAGUUCCCAGAGUGUGAUGGGGUACCCCCAAAGUCCAGCUUUCUAGGGUGAUGAGCUUUUGGUUUUGAGUGGGCACUUCCUGUCAGAAACCAACUUUGUUCAUGCUCAUGUUCAGGAACACUUCUCUUCAAGGCAGGUCCAAAGCUGAGAAAUGCUGUGGUUUUUUGGUUUGGUUGUUUUGGAAGAAGCAGGUCUUGAGAGAACACAGUCUGUGGAAUUUACCAAGAGAUCUUUGCAAUCUGUCCAAAUUAUAGCGCUGGUGUCGAGAUCAGCACCAGGACACUGAACUGUAUCUUCCUUCAGACAGGGACUGAGAAGAGGAAAUAUCACCACAGUGCAGCCAAGCUGUACUGAGGGCUGAUUGAAAGAAACUGCUGCUCCAGAUGUUGCUCUAGUGGGCUUUCGAAGUGUGAGCAGGAACAGACUGACUCCAUCAACUGGACUCUCUCUGUUUAGAGACAAGACUGCUUGAAGCAAUUAGGUUCACCAAUUAGCAUAGUUUUACUGACCCAGGCAACAGCAGCGCUGGCUCCUCAGCUUAUCCACUUCUUCAAAGUCCCCAGAAAAUGGAUGAGAACAUGUUUUCCAGGUGUGCCACGCAAGAGAUGAGCCCACAAACAGCUGUUCCAUGCAAUAUCAGCAAGUUUACAGUUUUCUUGUGUUUUUCUGAAAGAGAAGAGGAACAUCUGUUUCAAUUAUAGAUCUGCAUCAUAAUUAUAACAAUUAAAGAGCUGCCAUGUUCAUUUUUUCUAAUGAAAACCAGAGGGCAGUGUCUACACUGGUGAGAUGAAGGAGAGAACCAAGCAAUCUGGUAGCAACAUUUAGGAAUUUACUUGAUAUAUACAUAUAAAGGCUUUGGAUUCAAAUAUUCAACAGCUGCUCCUUUGGACAUCUCUACCUGGAUGACCAGCCAGAACAACAUAUUCAAAAUUGAAAUCAUCAUCUUCAUCCCCCAAACCUUGCAACUUUAUUGUAUCUGUUAAUGAUUUUGCCCAGAUUUGAAAUCAGUUGUGAAUUCUUUUCCUUUCCCUGAUUAUUCAUGAAGUCCCUCUUAGACAUCCUUUCCUUGCUAUGGUCAUUUCUAUAAUUGUUUAGGUUCUUUUCUCCCACCUAUUACAAUAGCUUCCUGAAUGAUCAUACCAACUAAUCAUUUUCCCCUUCUAACCUAGAUCAUUUUUUUCAAACUAUUGGUUCCAAGAUAGAAGAGCAGUAAGGGCUAGGCCAGUGAUGGUGAAUCUUUUAGAGACCAAAUGCCCAAACUACAGUGUGCCCUCUUCUCCCCACCCCUAGCACCUUACCCAAGACAGGGAAGGGAAGAAGUGCUCCUAUUGGGCUGCUGGACAGAAGGAUGGGUCAUGUGAGAAAUAUCCUCAGGCACAUGUGGAGGAGGGGAAAAGCCCUCUCCAGCAUACAUGCCAUAGGUUUACCAACUCAGGACUAGGCAAUGGGAGUUAAGUGACUUGUCCAAGAUCACACCACUAGGAAGUAUCUGAGGUGUCUAGAUCAAUUUUAACAAUCCUAGGUCCAAGAAUCUCUGUUCCUCUGUCUGCAAUAGAUCCCUUUUACCUAAUGAAUAAAGUCUAAUAAUUUCACACCAUAAUAGACAAGAUCUGAGCAAGAUAAGGAAAAACACUUAUUUUAUUCCACAAACAUGUAUUUUCAUCAAAUGGCAUGUAUUUUGCUUAUAAAUUUGAUAAAUUAUCUUCUUGAUUCAAACUAAGGGAAUCUUUUCCUCAAAUUUAAAAUUUUAUAGCUAACUUUAUGAAUUGUGGUGCCAAGGUAUACAAACAACUAAAAAAUCCCCUCCUGUUGUCUUCAAUUAAUUGAAAAACAGGAAAUAAGACACCAUGAUUCAUUUUUCCUAGAAAGCUCAGUGGAGAAGUCCUUUUUCUCUACACUACAAAUAUUCUAAGAAAGUUGAAUAUGCUUAGAAUUUUGGUAAUUAAAUAAUAUUUAAAGUGUAUUAAAGACUUAGAAAAUCUGAGACUCAUUCUUUGUAACGUGGAAUGUAAUUUUUUGUAAUAUGAUUGAAUACUAAUUUGGUAAUAUUGAUUGCAUAUGAAUGAAUAUUAAAUUUGUAAUAUGAAUGACUGAUUCCUAAUUUACGUGUCUUGUAUGUUUAGGCUUCCAUAUAUUGUUUUCUUAAAGUCGUGGAUCCACUAAUGAUUUCAGAUGACUCUUCCCUGCAAAAUGUCACCAAUGGUGAUGUCAACAGCCUGGGAGAUGAGAUGUGUAAGUGGAAUUAUGUGAAGAUUUCUCAUUUCAUGGACCUUUGCUACUUGACUCCCAUUCAUUUUCUUCAGAAAAGCUCAAGAAUCAUAUUUAUUGCCUGAAGAAAUCACUUGCCACUAUCUUCCCCUUAUACAACUUCUUGGGAGCAUGAACACAUGUCUACAUGAGAUGAAUUGUAGGGUGAAGAGGAGCAGAAGGAUAGAAGAAGGAAUCUCCCCAGCUUUCUCAAACCUUCCAAGUGGGCCUUCACAGUAAGGUUUCAUUUAAAGUAUUGUGAAUUUACAGCUGCCAUAUUGAAAUGUCUGGAUGCCCAUUUAGUCUAACUUUUGUGAACCACUAAUGUCCACCAGCAACAUUCAAAAUGAAUGUUAGCUUCUGCAUUAUCAGGGAAUGAACCAAUUGGUACAUUCAAUAAGAAAUCUGAAUUCUCCUGAAAGUUGUAAUUUCUGGAGAUUGCAACAGGUCUUGAAAAUGUCUCAAAAGAAAUUUAUUAAUUAUAGCAGGUUGCAUGUAUUGACAUAUCUGUUGACAAUCUAGUUCUUUUCUGACUUAACUGAUUCCAGGAUCUAUAUUAUAGACUCAGCACUUCAAAAGGCUGUGUAAAUUAACCAUGGGAUCAAAAGAGUAAAUAUGAUUAUAAUUUAUCACUUUGUUCAUUUAAACACAGUUUUUAUGUGCCAACAGUGUCAUGUCAGGUAAGAAUCCAUCUGUUAAGUAAACACAUCUCUUGGUUGAGAAUAAAAAUGUCAACCCAGGCAAAAUCCACUUUGUAAAUGCUUGAUACAUAUUAAGAGACUCCUUAUAGUUAUUGUACUGUAUGUUUGAAGAUGGCCCUUAUUGGUAAUUUUCUGAUUGUGACGAUGUGAUUGAAAAUUCUUAUUCUUAGUAUCCUUACUUUAUGCUAUAUGCAAACAUAUAGUUAGGAAACUAUUAGCUACUGAAGUAGGACUUUCUGACAGGACAGUGAUGUGCUUUCUAAAUAAGCAACUUGACUGUUUAGGAUGGUUGAUUAGUUGAUGGAUUGUUUUCCCAGUGACUUCUCAUCCAAUUUAGUUUAGCUUUCAGUUUAGGAUUAGGCUUCCCACAAAGGGGCUUCCAUUGACAAUCUCACCUGGAAUUUCCAAGAGUAUAAUUUUAAAUUUCCUGGUGAGAAGUCAUGUUCAUGGUUUAAAUGGCAGUUGGUGUGCCAGUUCAACAGCACCGUCUACCAUCAUUUUGAAGAUGUUUACUUUGUUUUUUUUAACCUAUUUUCUUCUAGCAACUAGAAGACAAUAGGAUUAUUCCAUAUAUUUGUAAUGUUAGGAAAAUACAUAGCAGAGUAACUUGACAGAGAACAAAAAUCAGCUCAUUUUUUUCAAAGCAAAGAUUUUAAAAUUGGAAAAAUACACCAACAUAAUAAUAUCAAAUGAGAGAAAUGUUGCAUGCAGAUUUCUGUUUGUCUAUUAAUCCCCACAAAUGACUGUAUCCUUUUAUUUAUAUAAGUAACAUCAGAAACAAACAUGUUACCAAGAAUACGUUCCAAUUUAAAAGAAUGGAUAAACACAAUAUGAAUUUAAUGUCAAAAAUUUGUCUUUAAAAUGGAUUUUAAGGUUUAGAAUGUGAAAAGAACUGCAAUUUUAAAAGCAUGUCAUAUGUAUCACCUGUCAAAUGAGGGAAGAUUUUAUUAGAUGAUCUCUAAGUCCCCUUCAACUUCUAAUACUCCAAGUCUAUACAUGCUAUUCCCAAGAGUCAUGUGGUGAUCAAAUUCAGUACAGUUUUUGAUGUAGAAGCAAAGUGGAAGCAAGGGUCCAAGUUAUGUACCUUUUGAAUGAUGCAAAGAAACCUAAUUUCAUUUUAGUUGUUUCUGAAAUCUCUGUCUAGGCACAUUGGCAACCAAUUUCAUUUUCAUUGUAAUGCAUGGAUAGCAAAGUCACAUACUCUUAAGAUAAUGCAAAGGCCAUAAGGAAUGGAAAGAGAAAAAUACAAUUUUUGUUGUUGCUGUUGUCAUUUGAAAUUUCCACAGUGUCUUUGCACAUUGGGCACCAUUUCAUUUUUAUUGCAUUGCACUGAGAGCAAUGUCACAUUUCAUUAAGUUAACACCAAGUUAGUAAAAAAGAAAAGCAGAAUAUUUUGCUGCUAUUACUGUUGUUCAAGAUUUCUGUCCUGUAGAUACUUAUUUUUUAUGGCGAUGAAUCAUUUCAAUAGGAGAAUACAUUAGGAAAAAAUGUGGCUUUUUUAGUCAAAUUAACUGCUGACUUGAGCUUCGACCUGGGGUUUUCUGUGUGUUCCCUGUGCUAUGUGAGGGUAAACAGGUCAAUCUACUAUCAUUGGAAACUUUUUUUUUUACCACCAACUGGCCAAGGAAAUAUAACUAAAAUCAUCCUUUUUUAUACUUGCCAUGUUUCCUAUUGAAUAGGAAGGUCCACCAAGGGUCUUAGCAAGUAAGUUGGUAACCCAAGUUACAUGUUUUAGGAACCAUCAAUAAAGCAUACCAUAAAGAAAUAGUGAAGCUUAAUCAAACAAAUGUUUGUCUUGCCUAGGUUGGUUUCUCUAAAGUCAGCUUUUAGUAUGUAUAAACUGGAAACACCUCCUCUCCAGCUGAUGGUAAUUUGGCACUGUAGAAAGCUUACUGAAUUUGAGGACUGAGGAUCUGACUUUGUUACCCUGAAUAAGUCAUUUUUCCUUUAAGGGCCUCAGUUUCUUCAUGUGUAAAUUCAGGGCAUUGGUCUAGAUAAUUUCUGAACUUCCUUCUAGCCUUAGAGCUAUAAUAAAAAUAGUAAUAAUAACAACAAUAAUAAUAGUUAACAUUUAUAUAGUGCUAUGUCAAACCCAGUGGAGGGGAUUGAGAGGAGGCUAGAGAAAGAAUAUGAAUCAUGUAACCAUGGAAAAAUAUUCUAAAUUCAUUAAGUAAAUAAACUUUAAAAAAAGAAAAAGUCCUGACUAUUAAAAAAUCCCAUUUAUAGAGUGCUUUAAGGUUAUCAAAGCACAACUUUUGUGUGUAGAUGGUAUUAUUAUUGUCCUCAUUUUACACAUAAGGAAACUGAGGAGAAGGGAUUAAAUGAUUUGUCCAAGGUCAGACAUUUGGUGUGUGUCUGAGGCAGGAGUUGAAUUCAGGUCUUCUGACUUCAAGUCCAAUUCUCUAUGCAUGACACCUCCUAAUUUCUCCAUGAUCUCUGAAUCUAAGAAAUUCACUUUCAAGAAACAUUUAUUUAAAGUCUCAUACACACGGAAUAUCUACUAAUGUCUGAUGCUUUAUCCUGACAAUGGUGAUGACCAUAACUAGAUUCUUAAAGCCAAUGCCAGCUGAACACAACUCUGACAGUUUCUACCAAGCUGGAACCAAGCUGGAAAGGUUCUGAAUAUGCCCUAGAAACAUAUUGUACGUCUAUCACCUCAGGAACAGCAUAGCUAAAUUCGGAAAGUCUCAUCACCAGAAGGUUGGCUACCAGGUAAUGAUUUUUUUUUGGCCUCAGUAACUGAUGAAGACUCUCUGAAGGCAUGGAAGGGUUACGAUUUGAGUGAGUGGGAAGAAUACUCUGGGUAAUGAAAUCACUAGACUUUUCACAAUAUUGAAAUUGUGUACGUAAGACCCUAUGUUAACAUAACAUGAUAACAUGAGAGCUAAGGUCCUAGGUUAAUAUCAGGACCAAUGGGAAUCAACAACAGCAAAAGACAUGAUCAUGAUAUCAAGGAGAAUAAAAUGAAAGCAUGAUACAAAGUACUAUGCAUUUUAUGAUUUAAAACUUGGAGAGACUUUAGAGACUACUUAGUUCAAUUCUAUCAUCUCAGACAUAAAGGCUUGUCUAGGGUCAAAUAGUAAGUAGCAGAGGUAGGAUUUGAAUCAAGUUUCUCAGAUUUAAAAUUCAGUUCUCUUUCUCCUAAGCCAUGCAGGAGUUUAGAAGGAGUGAUUAUUUCAGAUUGGGUUGGAAUGGACCAGAGAAGGCUUCACUUUCUGGAUGAAGUGACAUUUGGGUUAGGCUAGGAUGUGGAAGCUCUUACCCAGAGAGGAUGACUUGCCCAAGUGCAGGUGGCUAGAAGUGGAUGAACUUGGGCUGGAUCUGACUUCAUAUCCAGUGUUCUCUUCAUUAUAGUACACUUGAAUUGGAGAUCCUUCAAGUCUAAACCCAAAUAUUCUCAAGUUACUAAUCAUUGUGUUGAUUUGGAUAUAGAUGAAAUAUCCAUUUGUUUACCCUGCACAGACUUGCCUAUGCUGAUAACUACACACUGCAAUUUAUCCCUUGUGAAUGAUUUUGGGAAACUAAACAAGCAUGUUUAGGAACUCCAGUUGCCUGGCAAGUGUUUUUUAAAGACAAUCUAAAAGGACCAGAUGAACAUCCCAUUGAAGAGCAAUAAAAUGAAUUCCUAAGACUCAAGUUAUAAAUCUAUGGAUUUAGAAUAAACAUCUUUCCCUAGAGUAUGUCUGGACCAACAUCAUUUUGGAAAAACAUGUAUUAUGGAAUCUGGACAGUUACCCUGACGAUUUAAUUUGGAAAGCAUUCUAUGCAAUUUGAGUAAUGAUAAAAGAGGAAACCUGUCACUUUCUGGUUUCUUUCCCUCUUGUUAACAAAAACCAAUAACAUUUUAUAAAAUGUUCAUCUCAUAUUUUUGUUAGUAUAGGUUAAUAAAUAAAUAAUACAUUUUGAAUUCAGUAUGACUUUGGUUUAUGUCAUGAACAUGAACAAUGAGUCAAGUCAAUAAUCAGUCAACAAACAUUUAUUAAGCAUCUACUAUUUUCCAGGCAUUGGGCCAGAGGCAAAAAUUUAAUCUUUCUCUUCAAAGAAUUCACAUUUUAAUGGAGCAGUCAAUAUGCAAAUAACCAUGUACUUUCAAGAGAGAUGCAGGGUAAAUUGAAGGUAAUCUAAGAAAUAAUAUUGAGUUGUUGUUUCCAAUAGUUUAUGAUUUUUUAGUGACCAAUGGCACUUCUUUAAUACACCUACAUUGGGAUUAAGGAUCAAAUUUGGGAGUGGAACAGAGCAAAGAAAAGUGGUCCAUAUGGAGAUCAAGCCAAUAACAACUGAGCCAACCACAAUUUACAUUUAUCUUCCAAUUGGUUUUUCCAAUAGGUCAGAAUCAGACCUUGUGCUUGCAUUUCCUAAGUGGGGAAGAAAUAGGAGCAAACUGUGGAAGUUAAAAAGAAGAAAACAUAGUCUUACUGUAGGUACCUCCCCCCCCCCCCUUUUAACAAUUAGAGCUUCAGAAAACUGAAAUAAAUUGCUUCAGGGUAGGAGUAACAUUUAUUUUGUAGGUCUAUUUUACUAAAGAUAGGAUGGCCAAUUGUCUAGUAUAGUCAGGAGCAGAUACUUUUUCAGGUAUGGCAUAGAUUAAAUGUCUGUUAGUUAUUUGAAUUCUGAAAUUGAAGUACAGAAAAAAAAUUAUGAAGUCAUUAAUCUGUAGUAAGCAUAUUUUAAAAAAGUAUAUAUUAUAUGUGUGCACAUAAUUUAAUAUAGUAGUACUGCUCUCCCUUGCUUGUCUGUGUUAUCUUCUUUAGUAUUUAUUGGGAAAAGAAAUGAAGGGAUUGGAAAAACUGGGGGAUUAUGGGAGUUUUGUAUGGGGGUUUGGAGGAGUUGAGGGGAGAGAGGGAAUAUUGCUUGGUGAGGCAAAGGAGAGAGAUGCCCCCUGCUGAGAGGAAGCAGUAGGGGUCCAAUAAGAUCUGUUUGUCUUUGAAUGACUGAACUGAUGUUGAGCUCCCUCUAUGCCCAGAAAAGAUAGUCCACUUAUAGGACUGCGAAUUCAAAUAAUAUCAAGUUCAUUAACCAGUUGGGAUUGGAGUUUUUUUCUCAGCUUCAGAGCUGAGGCCAGGCCCAGUGGCUAGCAGAGGGUUUUUCCCACUCCCAUCUACUCUAUAUCAGUCCUUGCUUUGUCUAAUUCAGAGUCUUAGCAGUAGACAGAAAGCAAACAAGAACAGGUCUGACUUUCAGAAGUGAUUGGGCCUGAGUCUUUGGGCUGAACCAAGAAGAGGCACACCACACCAGACUGGGCUGAACAAGCUCCUCCCUCCUCCAACACCAGGAAGCAAGUCAAAACCCAGCAGGAAGGAAGUGCUAGUCACAAGACCCAACUGCCACUCCCAGUUGCUCCUUCCUCCACCAACUAUCAGUCUUGUUUCCUUUCCUCACUUCUGAACUUUAUUCUCUUCUGUGUAUUUUUAGUUUUAUUGGUUCCUCCUUACUUCUUUUUUUGCAUUGCUAUUAUUACCUCUCUGUUUCGUCAACACUUCUGCCACUGCCCCCAACAUGCCUCCCUUGGUAGUAUAUUUGUCAUACCUGAAAAUUACAUCUCAUUUUAUACUUGCGGUCCAUCAUCUUCCAUGAUUUAGGAAACAUACUUACUCAUCAGUUUUCUGUAGUUGUGACUAGUCAUUGCAUUGUUUAGAGUUCUUCAGUAAUUUAAAAUUGUUUAUAUAUACAUUGAUAUGGUCACUGUGUAAAUAGUUCUCCUGACUCUGUUCAUUUCAUUCUGCAUCAGUUCCUUAAAAUUUUCCAAUGUCUCUGAAUCUGUUCAGUUCAUAAUUUCUUGGUACAAAUCUAAUCUGGUCAGUGUAUCAUCUUUUAAAAUAAACACUUUGUUAAUAUUUUAUCCAA